UUAACACAUGCAAGUCGAGGGGCAGCGGGGUAAAGGCUUGCCUUUACCUGCCGGCGACCGGCGCACGGGUGAGUAACACGUAUGCAACCUGGCCGUCACAGGAGGAUAACCGGGAGAAAUUCCGCCUAAUACUCCAUAACACUUUCCGGGGACAUCCCCGGGAAGUCAAAGGGUCUUGACCCGGUGACGGAUGGGCAUGCGGCGCAUUAGCUAGUCGGCGGGGUAACGGCCCACCGAGGCGACGAUGCGUAGGGGUUCUGAGAGGAAGGUCCCCCACAUUGGAACUGAGACACGGUCCAAACUCC
rnacentral:rRNA from 1 species